rnacentral:rRNA from 1 species
AGAGUUUGAUCCUGGCUCAGAACGAACGCUGGCGGCAGGCUUAACACAUGCAAGUCGAACGCACCUUUCGGGGUGAGUGGCAGACGGGUGAGUAACGCGUGGGAACGUGCCCUUCAGCUCGGAAUAACCCAGGGAAACUUGGGCUAAUACCGGAUACGUGCGAGAGCAGAAAGAUUUAUCGCUGAAGGAUCGGCCCGCGUCUGAUUAGCUAGUUGGUGAGGUAAUGGCUCACCAAGGCGACGAUCAGUAGCUGGUCUGAGAGGAUGAUCAGCCACAUUGGGACUGAGACACGGCCCAAACUCCUACGGGAGGCAGCAGUGGGGAAUAUUGGACAAUGGGCGCAAGCCUGAUCCAGCCAUGCCGCGUGAGUGAUGAAGGCCUUAGGGUUGUAAAGCUCUUUCGUCCGGGACGAUGAUGACGGUACCGGAAGAAGAAGCCCCGGCUAACUUCGUGCCAGCAGCCGCGGUAAUACGAAGGGGGCUAGCGUUGUUCGGAAUCACUGGGCGUAAAGGGCGCGUAGGCGGCUUUGUAAGUCGGGGGUGAAAGCCUGUGGCUCAACCACAGAAUUGCCUUCGAUACUGCAUGGCUUGAGACCGGAAGAGGUUAGUGGAACUGCGAGUGUAGAGGUGAAAUUCGUAGAUAUUCGCAAGAACACCAGUGGCGAAGGCGGCUGACUGGUCCGGUUCUGACGCUGAGGCGCGAAAGCGUGGGGAGCAAACAGGAUUAGAUACCCUAGUAGUCC